GGCCGCCUGGCGAAAUGGCAUCGCGUCUGACUACGAUGACGUUAUCAGGAGAUUGCAGGUUCGACCCCUGCGGUGGUCA